rnacentral:misc_RNA from 1 species
UACGGAGGGUGCAAGCGUUGUCAGGAAUCAUUGGGUGUAAAGGGUGCGUAGGCGGGAGUCUAAGUCUGUGGUGAAAUCUUGCCGCUUAACGGUAAAAUUGCCAUAGAUACUGGAUUUCUUGAGUACAGAAGAGGCCGGUGGAAUUCGUAGUGUUGCGGUGAAAUGCAUAGAUAUUACGAAGAACACCAGUGGCGAAGGCGGCCGGCUGGACUGUAACUGACGCUGAGGCACGAAAGCGUGGGGAGCGAACAGG